rnacentral:tRNA from 1 species
GGGCCCGUAGCCUAGCCAGGAUUGGGCGGCAGCCUUCGGAGUUGCAGACCGUGGGUUCAAAUCCCACCGGGCCCG